rnacentral:rRNA from 1 species
AUGCGUAGGUGGCGAGCGUUAUCCGGAAUUACUGGGUGUAAAGGGUGUGUAGGCGGGGAGCCAAGUCAGAUGUGAAAAUUACGGGCUCAACCCGUAACCUGCGUCUGAAACUGGUUUUCUUGAGAGUGGGAGAGGUAAACGGAAUUCCUGGUGUAGCGGUUAAAUGCGUAGAUAUCAGGAGGAACACCGGUGGCGAAGGCGGUUUACUGGACCACAACUGACGCUGAGACACGAAAGCGUGGGGAGCAAACAGGAUUAGAUACCCUGUAGUCCACGCUGUAAACGAUGAAUGCUAGGUGUAGGGGUCGAAGGACUUCUGUGCCGCAGUUAACACAAUAAGCAUUCCACCUGGGGAGUACGGCCGCAAGGUUGAAACUCAAAUGAAUUGACGGGG